rnacentral:lncRNA from 1 species
CUGGGUUCUUCAGUCUCCCCAGUGCCCUUAGCUGUUAAGAUGAUGAUGACGUUGAGCUGUGGGGUCCCCAUGAGGACCCAGGGCUUCUGAGGUGCGUGGCUUUGCUUCUGGCCUGAUGGUGAGUCAGCCCUGGUUGUUUGGUGGCAAUGGUGGUAAGGGCAGCGUUGGCACAGUUAUCACAGGGCAUAAACCACAGACCACAAAACCCACCCUCACCGAGUGCUCACAGGAGGACACUCUAGCACCAGCACUCCCCGCUCACCACGAUGGACAGGCCCGGCAUGGAAGGGUGCCGAGGGCUGACCUGGGUCCAGCAAUAGGACCUUCUCUCCCCAAGACUCCUGUCCUGUCUAAGGAAGAAGAGACCAGCACUAAUGGGAUGAGGUCACCGAUCCUUUACCCUAUCAGGCUUUGGGUUCAGCUACUCCUGCGUGGCUGAUCCUAGGGACCAGAGGCCUGGAGGCCAGCUGGAGCAAUCAGCCUCUUCCUGCAGCAUUCCCAGUCGAGGUGGCCUCCAUGUUUAUGCCAAGAAGAAAACCCAGAAGAGCUGACCAGUCGAGGCUAGGCCUCCUCCCUGCCCUUGCUGGUGAGGUGGCCUCUGCAGGAGGAAGCGGGAGGAAGGUGACCCACAAGUUUGCUGCCACUUUGCUGAGAACUUCCCAUGUACCAGGCCCUCCAUCUGCCGGGGUGGAUCCUCCCAGCACUGCCGUAGGCCAGGUGGGAUGACCCCACCUCACAGCUGAAGGUUCAGAGCCUCAGAAAGGUUGAGAACUCUCCCCUGGGUCAGGCUGGCAAGGGGAGGGGCUGCAGCUCAGCUCACGCCCGACCCCUCCUUACCUGCUCCUCUGCCCUCCCUGCACCUGUGUUGAGAGUCAACACACCUGGAUCAGUGCACAGCCCAGGGCCAUCCUGAAGGUGUG